rnacentral:lncRNA from 1 species
CUGACCCCUGGGGUUGGGCUCUGUCCCUCUCCUCCCAACCAGGGGCAUCAGGGUCCUCACCCAGGACCUAAGAAUUCAGAGAAAGCAGUGGAGCAUGAUUCCAGCCCACUGACCCUUCCUAACAGAUGGGGCCUGAAGACAGGGGUCUUGGGGCUUGUAGCUUGAAUACCAAGGCAGGAGCUGCCCACAGAGGUGAUAACUUUCAUUGCCAUUUACUGGCGAAACCAUGACUGAGGGACCAGGGCUACAGUGGGCAGCUAGAACCUCCUUGUAGAGGUCAGGGGCCCCUGCCAAAAGCCCUUCCUUGGAUGAGGGCUAAUUGUUGCUUACCUGUAGUCUUCCGGUCUAUCACUUUUCUGGCCACGGCCAGUUUUCCAGAACAAAUGGCAGAGGGUGAGCAAGUUUGUGAAUGUGGCCGAAGCCCCGUGUCACCCAAGGCUGGGCCCGUGCUGGUCAAGGAAAUUAGGCUGUAGUUUAUGGGAUUUCAAGAAACUAGUGCUGGCCUGUGAUUCAUUUUGAUAAAGAAUGAACAUGGUCCCACUGCCCUGAUUCGUAUUUCUUUCACGGUUGCUAAGAACAUCCAAGGGAGAACGAUGCCAAAUGAACACUCAGCUCUAACAGUUUGUCCUUCCAGGCAGCGCAGACUGACUUUAAGUCAUUCCUGAGGUCAUGGAAAGUGCAGCUGGUGUUUUCGAGGGCGGAGGGACGCCUCGGGAAGGAGGACCGGCGAGCUAUGCGGCGAGCAAAGAAGAGUGCUCACCUGAAGUCUGGCUCACAGGGAGCCUGUGCCUCUGCAGUGCAGCCCCAGUUCUCCACCUCACCGUGGAUGCUCCUACGGGCCUCAAGCUUCAUGUACACCCAGGGCAAUGCUAGAUGUCGUCACAUAGCUGCUCCCAUUUGCAUCUCAAAAAAACAGCCCAAGGCAUCCCGGCUUACCCUGGAGCUGAGGAAUGACUUUCUACUUCCACUGGGGACUGAGUCUGUCUGCAGGAAACACGGCACAGGUCACAAACAGGUUCCACCGAUGCCGCCAGCUCUGAUAUGGGAGCUGUAGACUCCAUGUUCUGGAUGAAAGUGAUUUGGGGACGACAGAGCCAGCGCUGAACCUCAGGAGGGCAGUGGAGGACAGCAUGAGGCCGUCCUGUGACCCUAGGGCUGGGAGGGACAUUGAAGCCGUGCUGCAGCUGGAGAAAGUCUUUAUGCAAUUACAGUGGGGUCAGUGUGGGCCCAGCAGUGCUGAGUGGGUAAGAGGAUAAUAAUAAUAACAACAACAACUGCAGCACGACGCCCGAUCUGACUCCAUCCCCCAAGCAUCUCAAAGAGUAGUUCCUUAUUUUUCACACUUGGAUGAGAAAAGCAAGGCAAGGAAAAGCAAGUAGGGGGCACCUGAAUUGCAAUUCGGUUUUGUCCUAGAUUUUAAUCGUUGUGCUGAACAAAAGUGAUGACCUCUCACCCGGAAGGAAACCAACAGGGUCACAGGACAGAUCUCUUGCCCAGCCCUGGAGUGGGGGUGGCUGCCGCUGACCCACUGCUGAGCAAAUGAGCCCUCCAGGCCCUGGGAGUGGGGGGGCUCUGGUCCAGCACCCAAAGCUGGCAGGGGGCCUGGUAUUCAGGCAGGGCGCCUUGCCUGUUUGCUGAGCCAAUGAGCAGGCAGUGUGUUUGGGGCUGGAGCCCUUGCAGUGAUUUUGUGAGUGUCUUUAUGAGGUGUGAUCAAAAGUACAGCGAAUGCUGGGGCCUGGUGCCAUCCGACAGAAAGGCAGCCCCUAAAACACAGUGCGUCCUCGUCUACCUCAUUCAGCAGACCUGGCACCGUGCGACUUCUGGCUCUUCCUCAAAGUCAAAACGACCACAGAAGGCAAGCGUUUUGAGUCCACGGAGGACAGCAAGGCAGCCAGGACAGCACAACUUGAACACACAGCAAAGAGGACUUCCAGAACUGCUACAGGAAGUGAUGACGGAUGGUAGAUCCCGCUUUGUCUGGAAGGGAAAACUCGAACAGCUUGUCUGCACCUCUCCACUCGGACAUUAAAUCAACAUGGCUCUAUUAGUGGCCUUGGGAUGCCAGCUGAGCUGUCUCCGAGCCUGUCACCGUGAUGUCUUCAUCUGUAACCAGAGCAGACGUGAGCUCCUGGCAGCUUCAGGAGGUGACAACAAAUCCAAUUAGCUCCUCUCCACGGCGCCGCAGGACUUCUGCGAAACGGCCUGCCGGGGAAGGCGGCUGGUACCCCGCGCAGUGGGACACGGCGGGUGC